rnacentral:rRNA from 1 species
GGGAGGCAGCAGUGGGGAAUCUUGCACAAUGGGCGAAAGCAUGAAGCAGCCAUGCCGGAAGAAUGAUUAAGGUCUUAGGAUUGUAAAAUUCUUUCACCGGGGACGAUAAUGACGGUACCCGGAGAAGAAGCCCCGGCUAAUUUCGUGCCAGCAGCCGCGGUAAUACGAAGGGGGCAAGCGUUUCUCGGAAUUAUUGGGCGUAAAGGGAGCGUAGGCGGUCAUUUAAGUCAGGGGUGAAAUCCCAGAGCUCAACUCGGGAACUGCCUUUGAUACUGGGUGUCUUGAGUGUGAGAGAGGUAAGUGAAAUUCCGAGUGUAGAGGUGAAAUUUGUAGAUAUUGGGAAGAACCCCAGUGGCGAAGGGGACUCCCUGGAUCAUUACUGACGCUGAGGCUCAAAAGCGUGGGGAGCAAACAGGUUUAGAUCCCCUGGUAGUCCACGCCGUAAACGUUUAUUCCUAGUUGUCGGGAUGUUUACACCUCGGUGACGCAGCUAACGCAUUAAGCAAUCCGCCUGG